AUUGUUCGCUGGCGGCAUGCCUUACACAUGCAAGUCGAACGGCAGCACGGAGCUUGCUCUGGUGGCGAGUGGCGAACGGGUGAGUAAUAUAUCGGAACGUACCCUAGAGUGGGGGAUAACGUAGCGAAAGUUACGCUAAUACCGCAUACGAUCUAAGGAUGAAAGUGGGGGAUCGCAAGACCUCAUGCUCGUGGAGCGGCCGAUAUCUGAUUAGCUAGUUGGUAGGGUAAAAGCCUACCAAGGCAUCGAUCAGUAGCUGGUCUGAGAGGACGACCAGCCACACUGGAACUGAGACACGGUCCAGACUCCUACGGGAGGCAGCAGUGGGGAAUUUUGGACAAUGGGCGAAAGCCUGAUCCAGCAAUGCCGCGUGAGUGAAGAAGGCCUUCGGGUUGUAAAGCUCUUUUGUCAGGGAAGAAACGGUGAGAGCUAAUAUCUCUUGCUAAUGACGGUACCUGAAGAAUAAGCACCGGCUAACUACGUGCCAGCAGCCGCGGUAAUACGUAGGGUGCAAGCGUUAAUCGGAAUUACUGGGCGUAAAGCGUGCGCAAGCGGUUUUGUAAGUCUGAUGUGAAAUCCCCCGGCUCAACCUGGGAUUUGCUUUGGAGACUGCAAGGGCUAGAACCUGGCAAAGGGGGUAGAAUUCCCCGUGUUACAGUGAAAUGCGUAGAUAUGGGGGGGACCACCGAAGGGCAAAGGCAGCCCCCUGGGUCAAGAUGGACGCUCAUGCACGAAAGCGGGGGGAGCAAACAGGAUUAGAUACCCUGGUAGUCCACGCCUUAAACGAUGUCUACUAGUUGUCGGGUCUUAAUUGACUUGGUAACGCAGCUAACGCGUGAAGUAGACCGCCUGGGGAGUACGGUCGCAAGAUUAAAACUCAAAGGAAUUGACGGGGACCCGCACAAGCGGUGGAUGAUGUGGAUUAAUUCGAUGCAACGCGAAAAACCUUACCUACCCUUGACAUGGCUGGAAUCCCCGAGAGAUCAGGGAGUGCUCGAAAGAGAACCAGUACACAGGUGCUGCAUGGCUGUCGUCAGCUCGUGUCGUGAGAUGUUGGGUUAAGUCCCGCAACGAGCGCAACCCUUGUCAUUAGUUGCUACGAAAGGGCACUCUAAUGAGACUGCCGGUGACAAACCGGAGGAAGGUGGGGAUGACGUCAAGUCCUCAUGGCCCUUAUGGGUAGGGCUUCACACGUCAUACAAUGGUACAUACAGAGCGCCGCCAACCCGCGAGGGGGAGCUAAUCGCAGAAAGUGUAUCGUAGUCCGGAUUGUAGUCUGCAACUCGACUGCAUGAAGUUGGAAUCGCUAGUAAUCGCGGAUAAACAUGUCGCGGUGAAUNCGUUCCCGGGUCU
rnacentral:rRNA from 1 species